UGGGGAAUAUUGCGCAAUGGGGGGAACCCUGACGCAGCCAUGCGCGUGAAUGAAGAAGGCCUUCGGGUUGUAAAGUUCUUUCGGUAUUGAGGAAGGUUGAUGUGUUAAUAGCACAUCAAAUUGACGUUAAAUACAGAAGAAGCACCGGCUAACUCCGUGCCAGCAGCCGCGGUAAUACGGAGGGUGCGAGCGUUAAUCGGAAUAACUGGGCGUAAAGGGCAAGCAGGCGGUUAUUUAAGUGAGGUGUGAAAGCCCCGGGCUUAACCUGGGAAUUGCAUUUCAGACUGGGUAACUAGAGUACUUUAGGGAGGGGUAGAAUUCCACGUGUAGCGGUGAAAUGCGUAGAGAUGUGGAGGAAUACCGAAGGCGAAGCNNGCCCCUUGGGAAUGUACUGACGCUCAUGUGCGAAAGCGUGGGGAGCAAACAGGAUUAGAUACCCUGGUAGUCCACGCUGUAAACGCUGUCGAUUUGGGGGUUGGGGUUUAACUCUGGCGCCCGUAGCUAACGUGAUAAAUCGACCGCCUGGGGAGUACGGCCGCAAGUUA
rnacentral:rRNA from 1 species